rnacentral:rRNA from 1 species
UACGUAGGGUGCAAGCGUUGUCCGGAAUUAUUGGGCGUAAAGAGCUCGUAGGCGGUUUGUCGCGUCUGCUGUGAAAACUCGGGGCUUAACCCCGGGCCUGCAGUGGGUACGGGCAGACUAGAGUGCGGUAGGGGAGACUGGAAUUCCUGGUGUAGCGGUGAAAUGCGCAGAUAUCAGGAGGAACACCGGUGGCGAAGGCGACUACCUGGCCUGUUCUUGACGCUGAGGCGCGAAAGCUAGGGGAGCAAACGGG